CUUGAUGUUGGACGGCUUGGUCACGCUCACCCGUGACCCCUCCUAAAGACAAUGACGGCGGCCUGUUGGACCCCCGGUACACUGAGCUUCUUAACUGAGCACGUACUGGACAAGGGCCCACGGGUUCCGGUCUUCUUCGUCUCGAAGAAACUUUUCUCAAGGUUGACCUCGGAUCAGGUAGGAAUACCCGCUGAACUUAA
rnacentral:misc_RNA from 1 species